AAAAGAAAAUCAUAUCCCUAAUGAUUAUUAAAUCUGGAUAUGUAUUUUCAAAAUGUGCUGCUAAAAUGUUAAGAAGCCACUCACAUGUUCUGGAAGCAUAAUACAAUUUUCAAUUUUGAAAAUAUGUUUUCAUGAUUCAGUAGUCUAUUAAAAUAUUCCUACAAAAACCUAGCACAGACAUUUUAUUCCUUCCCUGAAGAAACAUGGCCUCCCUGGUUUCUUUAGUUCCUUUCUCACAGAAUUCAAAACAAAAAUGUUACUUAUAAAUAUAGUUAGAAUGAUGAAAGUAGAGGAACAGUAUCUGCUUACCUAAAACCUUGUUGCAGGAGGUCAUCUAGAGGACAUGAAAGCAGGUUCACCUGUGAGCUGGAUCGACCAAUCUUGGGACCCUGGCUACUGGACGCUCCUUACCUGCCUCCCGCGUCCUGGGAAUGUAAGCUCCUCCCACCAUUCCCACAGGGGAGCCUCUUCAAGGAGCAGCCUUGAGAGAGCACGUGUUAUUGAGACCAUCUGGACUACAUUCGUGACUGAACCCCGUCUAGACCUCUAUGUAAACUAUAAGAUUCUGGCGUGCAAUGCGGAGAUCCACUCAUCUUGCGGUUGUUGAAGACAGGCUUGGAGGCAUUGAAACAGAAAUGGAACCAAAUCCUGUCCUUGAGUAUCUUCCAAGAUAUACAGAAAACUUCUUAUGGCUUUUGCUUGAAAGACCCAGAUGCUACAAGGAAAACCAAGUCUUUGCCCUGAAUUAUCAAGGCUCCACGUUAUCCGGUGUCAGGGAGAAAAGCCUGCUGCUGAACACAUGUGCAGUUCAACUUCCUUCUGGCCCUGAGCCUGCCACAGCAUGCUUGACAAGCAGUAUGUACGUCAGCACCCAGGAUCCAAACUGGCGAACCCUGGGAAGCCAAAGUGGAAAAUGUGAACUUAACUGCUGUGCCACCGGGCUGGCCCCCCUGAUUCAUUUGGUAAAAUAAUGAAUGGAUCCACCUUGUGGUUUG
rnacentral:lncRNA from 1 species